GAUGAACGCUGGCGGCGUGCUUAACACAUGCAAGUCGAACGGUGAAGCCAAGCUUGCUUGGUGGAUCAGUGGCGAACGGGUGAGUAACACGUGAGCAACCUGCCCUGGACUCUGGGAUAAGCGUUGGAAACGACGUCUAAUACCGGAUAUGACUUCGGAACGCAUGUUCUGGAGUGGAAAGAAUUUCGGUCUGGGAUGGACUCGCGGCCUAUCAGCUUGUUGGUGGGGUGAUGGCCUACCAAGGCGACGACGGGUAGCCGGCCUGAGAGGGUGACCGGCCACACUGGGACUGAGACACGGCCCAGACUCCUACGGGAGGCAGCAGUGGGGAAUAUUGCACAAUGGGCGCAAGCCUGAUGCAGCAACGCCGCGUGAGGGAUGACGGCCUUCGGGUUGUAAACCUCUUUUGGCAGGGAAGAAGCGAAAGUGACGGUACCUGCAGAAAAAGCACCGGCUAACUACGUGCCAGCCGCCGCCGUAA
rnacentral:rRNA from 1 species